CACGUAGGGACCAAGCGUUGUCCGGAUUCAUUGGGCGUAAAGAGCUCGUAGGCGGUUCAGUAAGUCGGGUGUGAAACCUCCAGGCUCAACCUGGAGACGCCACCCGAUACUGCUGUGACUAGAGUCCAGUAGGGGAGCGUGGAAUUCCUGGUGUAGCGGUGAAAUGCGCAGAUAUCAGGAGGAACACCGGUGGCGAAGGCGGUUCUCUGGGCAUUACCUGACGCUGAGGAGCGAAAGUGUGGGGGAGCGAACAGG
rnacentral:rRNA from 1 species